AUUGAACGCUGGCGGCAGGCCUAACACAUGCAAGUCGAACGAGUGGCGGACGGGUGAGCAAUGUCUGGGAAACUGCCCGAUGGAGGGGGAUAUUACUGGAAACGGUAGCUAAUACUGCAGAUUAUCGGAUGUUCUCAGAUGGGAUUAGCUUGUAGUUGGGGUAACGGCUCACCUAGGCGACGAUCCCUAGCUGGUCUGAGAGGAUGAUCAGCCACACUGGAACUGAGACACGGUCCAGACUCCUACGGGAGGCAGCAGUGGGGAAUAUUGCACAAUGGGCGUAAGCCUGAUGCAGCCAUGCCGCGUGUAUGAAGAAGGCCUUCGGGUUGUAAAGUACUUUCAGCGGGGAGGCGUUACCCGCAGAAGAAGCACCGGCUAACUCCGUGCCAGCCGCCGCGGUAAUAC
rnacentral:rRNA from 1 species